UACGUAGGGUGCAAGCGUUAAUCGGAAUUACUGGGCGUAAAGCGUGCGCAGGCGGUUGGGCAAGACAGAUGUGAAAUCCCCGGGCUUAACCUGGGAAUGGCAUUUGUGACUGCACGGCUAGAGUGUGUCAGAGGGGGGUAGAAUUCCACGUGUAGCAGUGAAAUGCGUAGAUAUGUGGAGGAAUACCGAUGGCGAAGGCAGCCCCCUGGGAUAACACUGACGCUCAUGCACGAAAGCGUGGGGAGCAAACAGG
rnacentral:rRNA from 1 species